AGCGAACGCUGGCGGCAGGCCUAACACAUGCAAGUCGAACGAAGUCUUCGGACUUAGUGGCGGACGGGUGAGUAACACGUGGGAACGUGCCUUUAGGUUCGGAAUAACUCAGGGAAACUUGUGCUAAUACCGAAUGUGCCCUUCGGGGGAAAGAUUUAUCGCCUUUAGAGCGGCCCGCGUCUGAUUAGCUAGUUGGUGAGGUAAAGGCUCACCAAGGCGACGAUCAGUAGCUGGUCUGAGAGGAUGAUCAGCCACAUUGGGACUGAGACACGGCCCAAACUCCUACGGGAGGCAGCAGUGGGGAAUCUUGCGCAAUGGGCGAAAGCCUGACGCAGCCAUGCCGCGUGAAUGAUGAAGGUCUUAGGAUUGUAAAAUUCUCUCACCGGGGACGAUAAUGACGGUACCCGGAGAAGAAGCCCCGGCUAACUUCGUGCCAGCCGCCGCGGUAA
rnacentral:rRNA from 1 species